rnacentral:rRNA from 1 species
AUUGAACGCUGGCGGCAUGCCUUACACAUGCAAGUCGAACGGCAGCACGGGAGCAAUCCUGGUGGCGAGUGGCGAACGGGUGAGUAAAGUAUCGGAACGUGCCCAGUCGUGGGGGAUAACGUAGCGAAAGUUACGCUAAUACCGCAUACGAUCUAUGGAUGAAAGCGGGGGAUCGCAAGACCUCGCGCGAUUGGAGCGGCCGAUAUCAGAUUAGGUAGUUGGUGGGGUAAAGGCUCACCAAGCCGACGAUCUGUAGCUGGUCUGAGAGGACGACCAGCCACACUGGGACUGAGACACGGCCCAGACUCCUACGGGAGGCAGCAGUGGGGAAUUUUGGACAAUGGGCGAAAGCCUGAUCCAGCCAUGCCGCGUGCAGGAUGAAGGCCUUCGGGUUGUAAACUGCUUUUGUACGGAACGAAAAGGUUUGGCCUAAUAAGCUGAGCUCAUGACGGUACCGUAAGAAUAAGCACCGGCUAACUCUGUGCCAGCAGCCGCAGUAA